rnacentral:rRNA from 1 species
GAGUUUGAUCCUGGCUCAGAUUGAACGCUGGCGGAAUGCUUUACACAUGCAAGUCGAGCGGCAGCGCGGGGCAACCUGGCGGCGAGCGGCGAACGGGUGGGUAAUGCAUCGGAACAUGUCCAUGUCGUGGGGGAUAGCCCGGCGAAAGCCGGAUUAAUACCGCAUACGCCCGAGAGGGGAAAGCCGGGGACCGCAAGGCCUGGCGCGAUUGGGUUGGCCGAUGUCCGAUUAGCUAGUUGGCGGGGUAAGAGCCCACCAAGGCGAUGAUCGGUAGCUGGUCUGAGAGGAUGAUCAGCCACACUGGGACUGAGACACGGCCCAGACUCCUACGGGAGGCAGCAGUGGGGAAUUUUGGACAAUGGGGGCAACCCUGAUCCAGCCAUUCCGCGUGAGUGAAGAAGGCCUUCGGUUGUAAG